AUAGCCAUGCAUGUCUAAGUAUAAGCAAUUAUACAGCGAAACUGCGAAUGGCUCAUUAAAUCAGUUAUCGUUUAUUUGAUAGUACCUUACUACAUGGAUAACCGUGGUAAUUCUAGAGCUAAUACAUGCUAAAAACCCCGACUUCGGAAGGGGUGUAUUUAUUAGAUUAAAAACCAAUGCCCUUCGGGGCUCACUGGUGAUUCAUGAUAACUUCUCGAAUCGCACGGCCUUGCGCCGGCGAUGGUUCAUUCAAAUUUCUGCCCUAUCAACUUUCGACGGCUGGGUCUUGGCCAGCCGUGGUGACAACGGGUAACGGAGGGUUAGGGCUCGACCCCGGAGAAAACGCCUGAGAAACGGCGUUUACAUCCAAGGAAGGCAGCAGGCGCGCAAAUUACCCAAUGCCGACACGGCGAGGUAGUGACGAGAAAUACUGAUACAGGGCUCUUUUGGGUCUUGUAAUUGGAAUGAGUACAAUUUAAAUCUCUUAACGAGGAACAAUUGGAGGGCAAGUCUGGUGCCAGCAGCCGCGGUAAUUCCAGCUCCAAUAGCGUAUAUUAAAGUUGUUGCAGUUAAA
rnacentral:rRNA from 1 species